UACGGGGGGGGGAAGCGUUGUUCGGAAUUACUGGGCGUAAAGGGCUCGUAGGCGGCCAACUAAGUCAGACGUGAAAUCCCUCAGCUUAACUGGGGAACUGCGUCUGAUACUGGAUGGCUUGGAUUUGGGAGAGGGAUGCGGAAUUCCAGGUGUAGCGGUGAAAUGCGUAGAUAUCUGGAGGAACACCGGUGGCGAAGGCGGCAUCCUGGACCAACAUUGACGCUGAGGAGCGAAAGCUAGGGGAGCAAACGGG
rnacentral:rRNA from 1 species